rnacentral:rRNA from 1 species
AUUGAACGCUGGCGGCAGGCCUAACACAUGCAAGUCGAGCGGAUGAAGGGAGCUUGCUCCUGGAUUCAGCGGCGGACGGGUGAGUAAUGCCUAGGAAUCUGCCUGGUAGUGGGGGAUAACGUCCGGAAACGGGCGCUAAUACCGCAUACGUCCUGAGGGAGAACGUGGGGGAUCUUCGGACCUCACGCUAUCAGAUGAGCCUAGGUCGGAUUAGCUAGUUGGUGGGGUAAAGGCCUACCAAGGCGACGAUCCGUAACUGGUCUGAGAGGAUGAUCAGUCAAAUGGAAAUGAGAAAAGGGCCCGAAUCCCAAGGGAGGGAGAAAGGGGGGAAAUUUGGAAAAGGGGGGAAAGCUUGAUGCGCCAAGGCGGGGGGGUGAAAAAAGGCUUUGGGUUGUAAAAGUCUUUUAAGUGGGGAGAAAAGGAGGGAAAUUAAAUCUGUGCGUUUUGAAGGUUCCCAAAAAAAAAAGCACCGCUAAAUUUGUG